GAGCAGAUGAUGUUCGGGAGGAAGAGGAGAGACUGCUGAAUGGGAAGGACAGAGCAGGUUAAAACAAUCGCAGGAGAAACAAAAACAGCAGACUGACGUUUGAUCACGGCCAAAGAAGACUCACCCUGCUGGGAUUAUUAUAUAUCAUCAUAUAUUUAUCGUUAGCCAAUGGGGAAUAGAGCUCCUCUGCCAAUCAACCAAUCACGAUGCUGGACACCAAACGACCGCUGGGUCCCUACUGAUGUAUAGCUGUGAUUCUGUGUGUGUGUGUCAUGUCACUGUGGUUUUAACUUUUUGUUGUUGAUUUGAUCGUGCAUAGCUAAACAAGGAGUCUGAAACCUGCUGAUUUGUACCGUAGCCUGUGUGUGUGUGUGUGCUCUGCGUUUUUCGAGGGUCAAGUAAGUGAAGAAAAGAUGUGUUACGGAAAUUUGUGAAGGAUAAAAAAAAAAACUGGAAUGUUUCAGGAUGGAAAUACAGGAUGUAAAGAGAAGUGGUAAACAGACGAGAAGUGUGUAGUAAUGUUUUACGUUUCGGCACUGUGUGCUUAGUAUUUAUUGCUUUGAUUUGAGUUUAGACAUUUAGUCUUUCAAUUUGAGUGUUCAUGUGUAUGGUCCUGCUGAGAUGAUAAGCUUUAACGGGACGCUUCCUGCUGAAGGCUGAAAGCUAAGGUCCCGCUCUUGUUACCUGGCAGAUUAGUGCCAUGGUGCUGACAUGACAGCAGCUCAGGUUGUGCUGGCCUCUCUGUGUAACUCGGUACUGCAGUGGGACUACAGUCGAUGAGGUGUGUGUGUGUGUGUGUGUGUGUGUGUGUGUGUGUGUGUGUGUGUGUGUGUGUGUGUGUGUGUGUGUGUGUGUGUGUGUGUGUGUGUGUGUGUGUGUGUGUGUGUGAUAAAAAAACAUUUGCUGCAACAGUGUAGCAAUAGAGUAGCAAAGUGGGUGGAGAAGUGGGCUCUGGAAGUAUUUAUGCCCAUUUUUUAUAAAUAUUCUUCUAAAAAGUAAUUGUAGCCCAACCUGGUUAUUAAGGGUCACUUGGUGAUGACAGAAAUAAGAGAACAGUUAAUUACAUAAUUGUAGGAUUUUAUUGUCAAUCAAAGGACUAAAAAAAACCUCAUAUCCACAUAAUUCGUUUUUUUAUUCUAACCUUGCAUGCAAAAUGUCUCUUGACACCACUGUUGAAAAAAGAAAUACGAUAUUGUUGUAAUCAGAGACAAAAACAGCGUAGCCUUCUUUAGAAAUUGACUCAUUAAACUCAAUUCACGGUCUCCUAUUGGACGUUUCUGCAAUGCUCCUUGGAAGUUGUGUAAGACUUCUCUCAUGUCUUUAAGUACAAACAUUUCUGAGUUUUUGUGAGUUUGACGUAUGCUUUAACCAGUGCCCCUUAUCAAACAUUAUCUCACAAGAGUUUAUUCAAUUUACUUUCCAAACGCUGCCUGUCCAAAAAGACUCUUCACACUUUGCUACUCUUCGAUUCAGGCUUUAUGUAAAAUGCAGGGGAUUGUGGGAGUCGUAGUUCUCCAUGGAUGUUAAGCUAUAACCAGCAGCCCAAGAACAUGUUCUGAUAUCUGUAUGAUAAUUAAAGAUGACCCAAAGUGACUUACUGAGCUUGAAUCAGGUCAGGUAGAUAUGUUUUUAGCAUUACAUGGCUUUGAUUUGGAAGCUGUAGGUAACUGUUGUACAUUUUAAAAUCAGCUUUUAGUUGGACAUUAUAUUUUUUAGAGACUUCACCAGCCCUUCAUAUUGUUUGACUGACAGCUUGCAUGUGUGAUGAAUGAUGAAUACCUGAAUGAGCUUAUGUUUCUGUCUGAAUGUGUGAGCGUGACACCAAGAUUGACAGGGCAGACGAGUCCUGGCAUGAAAUUGUAAACACCUUCAGCUCUGAACCUGCCUGAGCUGACACUGUGAGUGAAGAGUGUGUUUAAUCUGUAAUAAAAAUAUUUAAAGUCAGA